AAAGUCGUAACAAGGUCUCCGUUGGUGAACCAGCGGAGGGAUCAUUACAAGAAGCCGAAAGGCUACUUCAAACCAUUGCGAACUCGUCCAAGUUGCUUCGGCGGUGCGGCUCCCCCCGGGGUGCCGCGGCGCCGCGCCUCCCCGGAGGUGCGGGGCACCCGCCGGAGGUCACAAACUCUCAUGUAUUAUAGUGGUAUCUCUGAGUAAAACACAAAUAAGUUAAAACUUUCAACAACGGAUCUCUUGGUUCUG
rnacentral:misc_RNA from 1 species